rnacentral:lncRNA from 1 species
CUUUAAAUUGCAAUUUACGGAAGUAUAGCCACCUUUACGUCUUUCAGGGGAGUGGCUGGUUCCUUUUACUUGACACAGCAACUUCUGAAGCCUGCUUGGCUCUGGAGAAUGAGCCUUCUUCCAUCUGUGUGUGGAACGAGAGAGCAGGACAGAAGGAGAGGUGUUCGCCAAGAACACUCAACAGGAGCAGUUGAAGAAGGACCAGGGAGGAAGGAAGAGUGAGCAGCAAGGAGGAGGGACUGAAAAGAGAGAGGACCCCAGAAGCAUGCCUGGAGGAAAAGGGGGGAUGAGGAGAACUGCCAGAGGCAGCCAGGCCAGGGCUGGGCAGACAGGGUUGACUAGGAUCCACCUGAAUUUACCUGCUUGGCCAGGUAGCCUCAAACCUCAGUGAAAGUCAGUGGUGCCCAAUCACUUUUUGAGAGUAGAGUUCGGAAGUCUUAAUUAGGGAUGCGGAGAGGGGGAGAUCUUAGAUCAAUGUGGGGAGAAGAGAAGGAAACAGCCAUGAGAAUUGGAAUGUGAAUGAGGGGGAGAAUUCAGCAGGAGGUUGCCAGGUGGCAGGUGACAGUGUUCCCUGGGCACUCAGUCAGUGCUGGGGUGUUGGGGUCAGUUUCCUGCCGACCGGGAGGAGGGUCCAGCCCGUUUUCUAGACUGUAAUAGGAAUGAGGCUGGCAGGUUUGGGUGCCCCAGGAACCUGAUCCUUGACUUCUGGAGAGAAAGACCCAGAAAAGAAGGAAAGAAGAAAGUGCCCAAGACAUCUAAUUAGACUCAGCCUCUGACGCUCACUGGAACCCACCUGAAUCAGCUGCUCCCCAGAAGAAGAUUACUACACACAAGGUGGACUGACCCAGGCCGCUCCUUGGCCCAGAUCUGCAGUUUAGACCCCACCCUGUCAUCAGCUGCCUUGAAGUGGUCUUACAAUCAUGUCCCUGCAGUGCCUGUGGCAGGCAUCAUGCAAGUUGCCCUUGAAGAUACCCAGAUGUCUUGGUGACAGGUUCCUGACCACCUGGAUGAGAGGUGGGCCAUCAGAUCGAUAUCACACAGGGGCCGUGAGCCCAGACUGCAGGCAUGUGCAUGUGAGGUUGGAGGUGGUGGAAAGAAGGCAGAUCCUUUGGCUACGCCCAAAGUGCCUGGCAACAAAGAGUGUCCAGCUCACAUUUCAAAUCUUUCCUUUCCUCUUCUUUCUCCUUCCUCACUGGCUACGGCCAUCCAUAAAGAGCUCCAAGCCCUCAUGCAUAGAGGGUGUUCAAUGAGUGGGGAAGGCCCAGUCUGUGCUGGAGGGACAGCUGCCUCCACGUUCAGAGACCUGCAGCUCGUAAGACAAAGUUUGUCCCCCAGCUGUUUCUUCAUCAUCACCCGGUAUCCCUUGAAAUUUGCUGACUCUUCAUUUUCGUGGUGAGGGGCCUUAUAUUCUGGUUGGAAGGGAGGACGGGGGGAUAGGAAGGAUUGUGAGAAACGUGGUUCUCUAUUUUCAGAAUAAAGAACUUCAGCCUCUCCACUUCCCCAAGUGAGGCUUUCCCUACAGGCACAUUUUCUGGUUCAGAGGCUGCCCAAGAAGGACAGUGAGGGUCAUUUCAAAUCACAUCUCGUUGCUCUCUGAGACCUGGCUUCCCAGAGAUAAGGCGUGGUCGUCUGGAAAGGAGCCUGUUGGAUAGGCGAAGUUCUGCUGGACCACAUUCCAAGGAACUCGUCUGACACUCCACUCUUCUGAGAUUGGCUCCCAUUAGCAGUUACUGGAAACAAGCAGGUUGUCAACAGGGCACGGCCAGGAGUGUGGUGUGUAGUAGAGCGUUUCAUGGGGUAGACCACUGAUGAGGUGCAGACAUGAACCCAGAAGUCCAGCAAGGCAGCAGCGAUGGGCCUGAUAGGGUCUGAGGAUUUCUCCUCCAGGAGCUCCUGGCCGGGCCAGGGCUCCUCUGUCGGUUUGCUCAGCAUCGACAGAGCCCAGCUCGAGACUUAGAUUCUUGAUCCGUCAGAGAUGCACGGCAACUCAACUGCAGAAAGCAGGGUGGGGAAGCUGUAUUACAAGUCAUAACAAGUUCACUGGAAACAUGGGCCAGAUGCUUGCUUCUAAAAAGAAAUGCUCCUCUCAAAGCAGGGCUCUUUCGAGUGCACCCCGAGAUGUGCCUGGGUGGGUCCUUCCUCUGUGUCUUUCUGUCUAUGCCAGGGUCUCGAUGUCUGUAGCCACUGUGAGACACACCCCUGCUAAGAGACUGCUUACAGCAGGGCCGCGCAUCCUUUCUGAG